rnacentral:lncRNA from 1 species
GCAAACAGUGAUGGCAAAUAGAAAUUCCCUUCCCAAUUUGUUGGCUGGUGUGCCUAACCUUCUACGUUUCAUGGCUGCAAGAGACACAGAGUGAAGGUUAUUCAAGUGCACGGGUAUAUAUGACAAAUAGAAGAAAAGAGGAAGGUAGGGAGAAAGAGGAGAGAGAGAGAGAGAGAGAGAGAAAGAAAGAGAGAGAGAGAAAUUAGAGUUAGAGCUGCCUGGUGAGAUGAAACAGAAAAGAUGACCUCAGUUAUUACUUAAACUCAUGGCUCUUAACAAACUGUACCUCCUGGAAUCAGAUAAGCAUCCUCUUGAAGUGAAGCCUAAAGUCACCAUACUGACUCUAGAUGUUUCUUAGCUAUCAAGAAAGCCCUGUUGAUUGCUCAAAUGCAAAAAUGUUUAAAUGUUGGUUCCAGGGAUUCUAUGUUUAUAUAUGUUGUCUUUCUUUUUUUUUUUUUUGACAUGGGUUUCUUGCUCUGUCACCCAGGCUGUAAUGCAAUGGUGUGAUCAUAGCUCACUCUAGCCUCAUACUCCUGGGCUUAAGCGAUCCUAAGUAGCUAGGACUACAGGUGUGUGCCACUACACCUGGCUAACUUUUUUUAUUUUUGAUUUUAUAGAGACAGGUUCUGUGUUGCCCGGGCUAUGUCUUGAACUCCUGGCCUCGAGUAAUCCUCCCACCUCAGCACCCUGAUUAGCUAGGACUACAGACAUGCACCACCAUGCCUGGCUAACUUUUUAUUUUUUAUUUUUACGAUAGGGUCAUACUAUAUUGACCUGGCUGGUCUGGAACUCCUGGCCUCAAGCGAUUAUCCUGCCUCAGCCUCCCAAACUGUUGGGAUUACAGCGUGAAGCUCUAGUUCCAUAACUUCUGGGAAGCAAUGGCCAGUCUCAGACUUAAGGAUUAAGAGCAGAAUUUUCCUAAUGAUUCCAGAAUCGGAUACUAAGAAACACGGACACUGCCAGGGAAGGCGCAGUGGCUCCCGUCUGCAGUCCAAGCACUUUGGACGGAUCACGAGGUCAGGAGUUCAAGACCAGCCUGGCCAAUAUGGUGAAACCCCAUCUCUACUAAAAAUACAAAAAUUAGCCAGGCAUGGUGGCGCAUGCCUGUAAUCCCAGCUACUCGGGAGGCUGAGGCAGAAGAAUUGCUUGAACCCAGGAAGCAGAAGUUGCAGUGAGGCGACAUUGUGCCACUGCACUCCACCCGGGGUGACAGAGCCUGAGUCCGUCUCAAAAACAAACAAACAAACAAACAAACGAGGACACUGUCUGAGCACUCUUAUUCUGCAUUUGAAGAAAUACAGAAACAAUGGCAAAAAAUCAUUUGCUCAGAAUUACAGUAAAGAAUCUGCAAGUGUUGGCAAGCAUAACUUUGAUUAUUAUUUGAUUACAUGAAUUAUGAAAUGCAUGUAAGUUGAAGUUUUAGAGAGACAUAUAAAUACACAGUAUAAUUGGGGGUUCUUAUUAUUAAGGUCCCUUGUCUUUAGUAUCUGAUAGUUUCGCAUCUCCUUCCUCAUGAGUCCAUGGCAGAAAGUGUCAGUCUGUCUUUUCCUGGCUCCUGUGGGUUAGAACCAUUUAUGAAGUACAUAUCUCUCCAUAGUAGCUCCCUUAUGGUGUUUUGAUAAGAAGCUAUUCUGGGACCUUCAGCUUUUCUUCUGUUACUACCUGUUGAGGUGAGAGCAAAGGAGAUAGAGACAGCAAAGGAGGCAAGAAGUGGUCUACUCUCUUUUCCAUCUUUCACCCAAGGAUAAGUACUAACCACAGCAGAGCUUAUAUCUGGCUAUAUAUUAAGGAUAUUUUCCUGAAGACCUGAAGAAAACAAAACAGCAUAACAUUAGAGCCCAGAUAAAUUUUGAACAAGAUAAAGAUUUGAUCUUGGAGCCCUUGGGGUUCAGCUAUAACCUAUCUCUUCUGAGAUGAUUUAGUUAUCCUCCCUCCAGGUGGAGGCAGCUUCAUGACCAUUCCUCCUGGAUAUAUGUGCAUUUGGGGGAAGACCCUUAUUCCAUCACAAAGCACCAGAUAGGAGUAGAGUCCUGGCUCAUCCACUCUAAUGCUGAAUUCCCCAGUGUCCUCUUUUCCAUUCUACCUCUCACAUGCUCUGACAUUGGCACCCUGUCAGCCUGUCCCUUAACACCAUAAACUACUAUUGGUACAUUUUCCAAAGUUUAAGCUUACUUAGAAUAUGUAUGAUUGUUUUCUAGCCUGGUUCAAUUCCUUUUCAUGAAUUUGUAUUCAUUACUAGGUCAAGAUAAAUACACAUUCUUCCUGUAGUUUUCCAGGUCUUGUUUUCUGAACUCGGGAGCAAUUGUUUAAAAAUUAAUACAGUGACAGUGAUAAUCUGUGUAAUGUGAUAUUCAAAAGCAAAAUUUGCAUUUUAAAAAUGACAGAUUUUGUAGCCUUCACCAUAGUUGUAAUGUUUUAACAAUUUGAAGCCAAUUUCGAUGAGUACCCUAAUUUCUCCAAAUAUUUAGCAAGAAGAGUUUUCCUAAGCAAAGAGUCUAGGCCAUGGAAAAUUAACUUUCCUCUUUCUCACACUUGUGAGAACAGUGAGGCUCAGAGAGUCUGAAUUAUUUGCCAAAGGUCCUAAGAGUGGUGGAGCUGGGAUUCAAAACUAUGUCACUCUUACUCUACAACCAUGCUGCCUUCUAAAAUUUGUCACUGAAUGUAACUUCCCUUAGCACAUAAAACUGUGUGCAGCAAAAGUUCUACAAGCUCCGGGGUCAAGGGGAACAAUAGGUUUUCUGUGUCUCCAGAUAAGUUGACUCAACCCGAUCAUAUUCAAUUCAAUUUUCAUUUAUUGAUCGUCCAUCGGUUUCAGGUACUAAGUGCUAGACAUAAAAAUGACCAGAGAAAAAAGAGAAUUUUGGAAUGAGAGCAGAAUGGAUUAUUUUCUUCUUUCUUUCUUCUGGUUCAAAUAGUAUAUCUCCUGCACAUGACAGUUUUCCUGUAACCUGGUGUAGCACUUUGAAAAUCCAGUAAAGCAGAAGUGACAGCGCUGUAACUCAUGAACUCCACUGAGAUUGCUAUGGUGUGACAAACCUGUCUCAGCUGUCUGUAUAUAAAUUAGGAAUUCCUAAAGCUUUCAAUACGAAAGUUGCUGUGAACUGCUUCAUUUCAAACUGAAAGCAUUGAAAUGCUAAUUAGGAAGCAUUUUUUUUUUCCUUCAAAGUAACUUUAAAUAACUUUUCGGGAAAGUAAACACAAUUAGUCUAUUUUUAUGGGACAGAUUUCUCCCUAUGAGAGGAGAAUGGCCAUUUUUGUGAACUACUGUUGGAUAUGACAUAUAUAUUUUGGAAGUCCCUUUCAAUCGUUGGAUUUGGCAGAUAAAAUGUUUAUACCGAUUGUAUUUUAUUGAAAGCCAUUUUAUGCAAAUUAAUUUAACACAGAAUUUAAUGAUUUUGGAUGCUGUGAGAUGAGGGGAAAUAACCUUUAAAAUUAACACUGCAAUUUUCAUCUUCUGAUUGUCUCAGCCUCCCCCAGAAUAGAAAAUGCUUAUUCUCUUGGAGAGAGAAAUAAAUUUAAUCUUUACACGGGCACACUCAAAAUUGCUAUUAUGCUUUUACGUAUUUUUUUUCACCAUGUCGUAUACAUUUUCUUUUUAUUUUGUGAAGUGAGGUGUGAACGUGAAUGUGUGAGCCUGUGUGUGCGUGCACACAUGAACAGGAGCGGGGACAAAUUCUAAAUAAGCUCAGGUAGAAUUUAUUUAUUUUUUCUAAUUACAGAGUGCUCACAGAGCACCAAGCAAUGGACCGAUUUUGCAUGUAGCAGAAGCACAGCUGCCUUCUCUCUAACCUACACCUCCUCCUCUAUUCCUGACCUUGUAAAUGGCAUGGAUAAUUAAUCAAUGACAUACGCUGAUGACAUAGGUGUCAUUCUAAACUCUGUUUUCUAUCAUACCUCCUCCAUUUCCUUCUUAGUGUGGUUGAUCAAAGGCCCAUCUAUUCUUUUUAAUAAUAAUGUCUUCAUGUUUUCAAAUAUAUUAAUUUCCAUUGAUACUCUGUGAUAUACAAUCCCAUCACUUUUUUUUCAAAUUUGUCAUAAUUCUGUCAUAUUGCAUAUCUAGCUUGAAUCACUGUUGUGCGAAAUUACGGUAAAAGUUCUAUUUGAAUUGUAAUAAAAUAUAGAAAGGUGAGAAAGGGAGAUUUCAAUCAUUAUUUGUGGACUAUAGACUCUUAGCUGGUAAAACAAAAUGAAUAAAAUGACAAUUAGAAAUAACAGAAUAUUGAAAAAUGUCAUAUAAGUGUUUAAAACUGAAAUGUAUUAAAUUAUAAAAUAUUUAUUAUGCAACUUAUCUAAAUAAAUUCUACCUGAGCUUAUUUAGAAUUUGGUUUUCAUUUAUCUGGGGUACAAGUUCAAGAGUUCAGUUCCUGGGUUAUAUGGCACUUCUAUGUUUAGUUUUAUAAGAAACUUCCAGAUUGUUUUCCAGAGUGACUGUACCACUUUAAAUUCCCAUUAGCAAUAUAUGAUCCAGUUUUUCUAGAUCCUCACCAGAAUUUGGUAUUGUCACUACUUUUUCUUUUUGUCAUUCUGACGGAUGUGCAAUAAUAAAGCAUUGUGUUUUAAAUUUGCAUUUCUGCAAUGAUUAAUGUUGGACAGUUUUUCAUGUGCUUAUUUGCUAUCUGAAUACCCUCUUUAAAUAAAUGUCUUAUCAUGUUUAUUUGCCCAU